CCAAUAGCGUAUAUUAAAGUUGUUGCAGUUAAAAAGCUCGUAGUUGAAUUUCGGGAUCAAUAUAUCGGUCGUGCCGUUGGUACGUACUGGUAUCAUUGGUUUCUCCUUUCUGACGAACCAUGAUGUCAUUAAUUUGGUGUUAUGGGAAGUUAGGACUGUUACUUUGAAAAAAUUAGAGUGUUUAAAGCAGGCUUUAGCUU
rnacentral:rRNA from 1 species